rnacentral:lncRNA from 1 species
CUGGCUGAGACCUCUGCACCGGAGUCCAGCAUGGCUGGCUUCUGGCUCGUCCUGCCUGCAACUCGGUCUGACAUGGGCUUGGCGAGACGGCGCAGCGCUGAGACCUCCUGAGUUUUCCUCCGCAGCACAAUUUCCUGCUGCCGCUUCUGAGACUCCAGAGCCCGGAUCUGAAACUCCUGCCGGCGCUGCUCCUUCUUGAGCUGUG